rnacentral:tRNA from 3 species
GGGAUAUUAACUCAGUUGGUUCAGAGUGUCACGUCGACAACGUGGAAGUCACUGGUUCGAAUCCAGUAUAUCCCA